UACGUAGGGGGCAAGCGUUGUCCGGAAUCAUUGGGCGUAAAGAGCGUGUAGGCGGCUCGGUAAGUCCGCUGUGAAAGUCGGGGGCUCAACCCUCGAAUGCCGGUGGAUACUGUCGGGCUAGAGUGCGGAAGAGGCGAGUGGAAUUCCUGGUGUAGCGGUGAAAUGCGCAGAUAUCAGGAGGAACACCAAUUGCGAAGGCAGCUCGCUGGGACGUAACUGACGCUGAGACGCGAAAGCGUGGGGAGCAAACAGG
rnacentral:rRNA from 1 species